UGGUGAUGCCUUUGCUCCGGGUCUUUCAUUCAAUACGGAGGCCCCGGUUGCUUUUUAAAUCUUGCCGUCUCCUGGCCUCACUCAUCACCUAGGGGUGAAAAGGCAGAGCAGGACCAGCUGUGUAUCCUCAGGGAAACGGACGCCAGCUGGGGCGAGCUUCACCCAGGACCAUCGCCUUGGCCUCUGAGAUUGUUGUGGGGCUGCCCAUGAUGUGACUUCUCUUCACAGAUGCUCACCUCUCUCGACCUCCUGCACCUAAGCAGAGCCAUGUCUACCUCUCCUCUGCCCACGCCCUCCCCACAUGCAUUGCUUUAUUAAGUAACACAGCCCUGAACCCCUAAGUUUCUUUGUAUCCAUCUUUCUCUCCCUUUCACCUCCCCUAUCCUGUUGCAUCCCACACUCCUCUCUGCCCUGUCUGCCUACUCCUCACCUCCCGUUCUGGUGGUGCUGCUGUCCAUUGGAGAAUGUGUGCUCAUUCACCCUCACCUUGAUGCAAGUAUAGGAACAUGGGAGGGGUGCUCAUAAGAUAAAAGCUACCACCUCUCUUACGGGAGUGCCUCACUGAGAGCGAGAAAUUCUACUCUUACUUUUGAAAAAUAAUGUGUAGUAGCAUGUACAGCAAAGGGACCUUCAUUUGGAAGUAUAUGAUUAAAUGAGAAAAGAAAACUAUAGAAAAAUGUAUCUGUAACAUUUGUAUAUACCAUAUAAUAUGAUAUACAGAACACAUGCUAUAUCACAUGAAGUGAUUACAUUAUUACCCCACAAAUGGAUCCUAUACAGAUACCACAUGCGCGUGCAGCUGUAAUGCAUAUUAAAAAGACCCAAACGGAUGUAUUCCCAA